GAUAUUGCGCAAUGGACGAAAGUCAGACGCAGCGACGCCGCGUGGGCGAUGAAGGCCUUCGGGUUGUAAAGCCCUUUUAUUGGGGGAAGAGAAAAAGGGCGGUACCCCAGGAAUAAGUCCCGGCUAACUACGUGCCAGCAGCCGCGGUAAAACGUAGGGGACAAGCGUUAUCCGGAUUCACUGGGCGUAAAGAGCGUUGAGGCGGUUCCGUAAGUUGGGCGUGAAAGCUCCGGGCUUAACUCGGAGAUGUCGUUCAAUACUGCGGGGCUUGAGGACAGCAGAGGAAGGUGGAAUUCCCGGUGUAGUGGUGAAAUGCGUAGAUAUCGGGAGGAACACCCGUGGCGAAGGCGGCCUUCUGGGCUGUUCCUGACGCUGAAGGCGAAAGCUAGGGGAGCGAACGGGAUUAGAUACCCCGGUAGUCCUAGCUGUAAACGAUGGAUGCUGGGUGUGGGGGGUGUAAAUUCCCUCUGUGCCGAAGCAAACGCGUUAAGCAUCCCGCCUGGGGACUACGGCCGCAAGGCUAAAACUCAAACGAAUUGACGGGGGCCCGCACAAGCAGCGGAGCGUGUGGUUUAAUUCGAUGCUACACGAAGAACCUUACCUGGGUUUGACAUGCACGUGGUAGGGAACCGAAAGGGGACCGACCUUCGGGAGCGUGCACAGGUGCUGCAUGGCUGUCGUCAGCUCGUGCCGUGAGGUGUCGGGUUAAGUCCCGUAACGAGCGCACCCUUGCUCUUAGUUAUACGUGUCUAAGGGGACUGCCGGCGACAAGCCGGAGGAAGGUGGGGAUGACGUCAAGUCAGCAUGGCCUUGAUAUCCAGGGCUACACACACGCUACAAUGGCCGGUACAAAGGGCAGCCAAGCCGCGAGGUGGAGCGAAUCCCAGCAAAGCCGGUCCCAGUUCGGAUUGCAGGCUGCAACCCGCCUGCAUGAAGUUGGAGUUGCUAGUAACCGCGCGUCAGCCAU
rnacentral:rRNA from 1 species